CGACGAGGAUGGGAUUCGAAACCACGCGGGUAAAGCCCAAUGGAUUAGCAGCCCAUAGCCUUAACCACUCGGCCACCUCGUC
rnacentral:tRNA from 13 species